rnacentral:rRNA from 1 species
GAUGAACGCUAGCUACAGGCUUAACACAUGCAAGUCGAGGGGAAACGACAUCGAAAGCUUGCUUUUGAUGGGCGUCGACCGGCGCACGGGUGAGUAACGCGUAUCCAGCCUGCCCAUCACUUGGGAAUAACCUUGCGAAAGUAAGACUAAUACCCAAUGAUAUCCCACGAAGGCAUCGGAAUGGGAUUAAAGAUUUAUCGGUGAUGGAUGGGGAUGCGUCUGAUUAGCUUGUUGGCGGGGUAACGGCCCACCAAGGCAACGAUCAGUAGGGGUUCUGAGAGGAAGGUCCCCCACAUUGGAACUGAGACACGGUCCAAACUCCUACGGGAGGCAGCAGUGAGGAAUAUUGGUCAAUGGGCGAGAGCCUGAACCAGCCAAGUAGCGUGCAGGAAGACGGCCCUAUGGGUUGUAAACUGCUUUUAUAAGGGAAUAAAGUGGGUCACGUGUGACUUUUUGCAUGUACCUUAUGAAUAAGGACCGGCUAAUUCCGUG